AAGACUAUACUUUCAGGGGUCAUUUCUAUAGUUCAUUACUGGAGAAGUGUCUCUGAACCUGUAGAGCACCUAACACGU
ensembl:snoRNA U3 Small nucleolar RNA U3